rfam:Blumeria graminis f. sp. hordei DH14, WGS project CATH01000000 data, contig: 001858
GGCAACUUGGCCGAGCGGUUAUGGCGCCAGCUUCAGGUCUAUGACUUGCUGGUUCGAAAGAGCGUGGGUUCGAGUCCCACAGUUGUCA